rnacentral:pre_miRNA from 1 species
CUUUAGCAACCCUCAAAGGCUUCCACUACUCCAUAUUUCAGUCUAGUGAAUGUCCACAAACAUGGAGGAGUAGUGGAACUUUGAGGCCUGCUGAAG